AACUGAAUAGCCUAGUGGUCAAAGGCAGCACUUCUUGCACAGUAUCUCAGCUUAUGAUGUGAAGUCCCAGGUUUGAAUCCUGGUCUAGUCA
rnacentral:tRNA from 1 species